rnacentral:rRNA from 1 species
UACGGAGGAUGCAAGCGUUAUCCGGAAUGAUUGGGCGUAAAGAGUCCGUAGGUGGUUAUUCAAGUCGAUUGUUAAAGAGCGGGGCUUAACCCCGUAGAAGCAGUGGAAACUGAAUAACUAGAGAGAGGUAGGGGUAGAGGGAAUUCCCGGUGUAGCGGUGAAAUGCGUAGAGAUCGGGAAGAACAUCGGUGGCGAAUGCGCUCUACUGGACCACAACUGACACUCAGGGACGAAAGCUAGGGGAGCGAAUGGG